GUCCACAUAGCUUAAUGGAAAAAGUACUUGUCUUCGAAACAAGUUGAUGAGCGUUCGAGUCGUUCUGUGGACGCAA
rnacentral:tRNA from 1 species